ensembl:lncRNA
GGCCAAAUCAACAUCUUAUACUCUUUGUUAUGUUUUUCAUACCAUUCCUGCAAUUUUUGCAGUGUAGCAGUGCACGUUAUCCAUCUGAAAGCGGCCACUGCCAUUAGGGAAUACCGUUGCCAUUAGCAAUGCCAUUGUGUACUUGGUCUGCACCAAUGUUUAGGUGGUAUGUGUCAAAGUAACAUCUACAUGAAUACCAGGACUCAAGGUUUCCCAGCAGAACAUUGCUCAGACCACUGCACUGCCUCUGCUGACUUGCCUUCUUUCCACAGAGUAUCCUGUGCCAUCUCUUCCCCAGGUUACAUCCAUAGGGCCUAAUGAGGAUUACCUGAGGAAGAUACAUACAGGACCUUGCCCGCUGCUUGCUCCAGCACCUGCUGUGGUUACCUGAGCCAGAAAAGAUGAUAUUAAACACGGAUACAAUAGCAGAUCCAAUUAUGUGCUUCCUCUUCCUGGUUGUUCUUGUAUGCUGGAAGUAUUAUGUAAUGACUGAAGACCGGCCAUUCUUCUUCAGGAUUUUCUGUUAGUGAGCAGAAUUCAUGUUUCCCUCAGUUACUGCAAGUUGCCCAGGCCCGGAAG